rnacentral:sRNA from 1 species
GUAAACGAGAGAUCAUGAAUAAAAUGAAAAACUAGAAUUGGUCCUCUUAGAAAAAGACCUGGGGGUGAGGGUGGUAUCUAUGGGGUGGGGCUUCCCCUUCUCUGGGGAAAAGGGGAAGAGGGAAGUUCCAGGAGGUGUGAGAGUCAGAUGGGUAGGAGAUGUGGGGGCUGUGAUCAGGAUGUAAAGUAAAUAAAUAAAUGAAAAAAAAAAAAGGAAGAAAAAGAAAGAAAAGGCCUGGUACUUGGGAAGAACAUUGAAGUGUACUCUGCUAUGUCACUGUUGCUUCACUAUGAUGUCACUGUAACUAACUGCUCCUCCCCCUUCACUAUUGUCUCUUUGCCACUAAGUAGCAAAGCUCCUGCAGAGAGCUGUUGUAGUCAGGGUAUGCCCUAUGUCUCCUUUCUUUCUACUCUCUCUAGUCUCUGCCCAGGUUUCUCCUCAGUCGGUGUCUUCAUCAUGGAUUCUAUUGUUGUGAUACACCGUAACGAAAACGUGACAGUCUGUUUCCUUAGGCUCCCACAUCACAAUCCAUCACCGAAGGAAGUGAGGGCAAGAAUCUAAGCAGGGCUGGAACCUAGAGGCAGGAGCUGAUGCGUGGGCCAUGGAGGAAGGGGUGCUGCUUACUGGCUUCCUCUCGUGGCUUGUUCGGUUGCACUCAAGACCACAGGACAUGUUAGCCUCCCUGCAUCCAGUACAGAAACAUCAGCUGUGCGAAGCCCCUCAGCCUUGCUUAUUGGACCCUUCCUGGUGCUUCUACUCAGCCCUGUGCAUGUAGGCUCACGCCAUUAUGCAGGUGAAGACAGACAAGAAAAAACAAGGCCUGUCAUUGGAUGAGAAGGAAGGGAGGCGGGAACAGAGAUUUUAGAAGGAAAGGGAGGAGCCGGAGCAAGAAAAAAAGAGCUGGGAAGACUUGGCAGCAGAUGUUACGAUUCUUCUCUGUGCAGUUACAGGAAAGCCUGACCAAGAAGAUAACUACAUAGAAACAUGCAGGACGUGAGGAAGAAACCCAAGGGAAUGGGAUUGGAAAAUUAGGAUGUCAAACCAUUCCAGAAGAACUUGGUUGGGUCAAGAUUUCUUUUUCACAAAUUACUAUCCAUUUUAUUAAAAGACUUCAUGUGGAUGGCUGUCUGUAUGCAGGUGAGGGUGGGAACAAGAUAAGGCUAGGGCCUGUGAUUGGGCAGUAGAAAAAAAAGGUGGGCUGAGGGUUUUAGAGACAGGAGAGGUAGGGACAGAGAGGAGGGAGGAGAGGAGGAGGAAGAAAGGAUGAGCCACAGGUAGUUAUGACCAUCAUAGAAGGGAAUGGACUAAUACAGGAUAAUUUGCCCGAUCUAGGUGAGCUACUUAUGUCAAUAUCAAUUAGCUCUAAGUUCAUUGUGCGGGCAUUUUGUGGGGAGAGAAUUGACUGAUAGAAAUCUGACGGAUAAAUUACAAGCCUCCAGAGUUUUGAUUUUUACUGGGUUACAGGGAUUUGUGACAGCUAACGGUUCAGAGGCAGGCCAACUACAGGGAACAGGGAAGACUGAGGCUAGCCACUCCCACUGCCAGAGCAUGGGUUUGCAAGAGUGUGCCCCAUCGAGCCAUGGAAAUUUGGGAGUGCUGAGUGAGUUUGGCAGCAGCCAGCCACAGGGAAGAGAGAGUGAUUUCAGAGCUCAGGAGAGGCAGAGCCAGCUUUGGUGGGACAGGGUUUGGUGACAGGGAAAACAUGCGGUCUCUGGACUGGACUGGGAACAAACUGAGACCACUGGCCAGUGCCUGGCUGGCAAUAGCAUGAACUGGUUUUGUAAUAUUACGUUCAACAACUUCAGAACCAGCAAACAAACUGUUAUGCUUCCCCGUCAAGGAAAAAUCAAAGCAUUCGUUUUUUCAUGAUUACAUUUCAAAUCU